UUUGGAUGAGAAAUUCUAGAAAUUCAAGGGAUUUAAAAUAACAGACAAUUCAAUUGAUUCAAUUAAAUUCCCUUCAUUUUCAAAUUUUAUUGUUUGGAUAAAGCGAUGAAAUUGUUUGGAUAAAUUUUUAUUAAGAAUAUUUAAUUAAGCUUGCAUCAACUCUUGCAAACCCUAAACCUAACCAAAACUUGCAUAUUUACCUUGGACCAAAUUUAGGAGAGACUUUGUUUUCUGAUUUUUGUUAGUUAGGGGCAUUUUAGGUUUUUUGAUGUGGUGUCAAAUUUUUAGAUAUGGGUAUUUUAGGUUUUUUCAGGGCACAUUGAUUUCUUAUAGAUAUAUAGAUUGUAUGUACAGAACUUAUAUACAAAUUGAUAUGAAUCACGAAAUUC
rnacentral:lncRNA from 1 species